GAAAUGCGAUAAGUAAUGUGAAUUGCAGAAUUCCGUGAAUCAUCGAAUCUUUGAACGCACAUUGCGCCCUCUGGUAUUCCGGGGGGCAUGCCUGUCCGAGCGUCAUUGCGAACCCCUCAAGCACGGCUUGUGUGAUGGGCCCUCCCGCGUCUUGGUCGUCAAGACGGGCCCGAAAUGCAGUGGCGGCUUCGCGGUUAUCCGAUCAGCCAGAGCGUAUGGGGACUUUCUCUCUGUCACACGCCCGCGGCGCGGACCAACGCCUGUCGACCUUCAUUCAUCGUUUUCUCGGUUGACCUCGGAUCAGGUAGGGAUACCCGCUGAACUUAAGC
rnacentral:misc_RNA from 1 species